rnacentral:sRNA from 1 species
GCCGGGCAUGUUGGCACAUGCCUGUAAUCCCAAUGGCUUGGGAGGCUGAGGUAGGAGGAUUGCAAGUUCAAAGCCAGACUCAUCAAAAACGAAGUGCUAAGCAACUCAGUUGAGACCCCGUCUCUA